GUGCUCGCUUCAGCAGCACAUAUACUAAAAUUGGAACUAUACAGAGAAGAUUAGCCUGACCCCUGCACAAGAAUGACUCAAAAAUUCAUGAAGCAUUCCAUAUUUAA